AACGAAAGCCGGCAUUUACUAUAGAGCAGCGGUUUUAGACUUCUAGUAGAGCAGUGUACUGUACCGUUCUGGAAUUGCCUUGUCUAUUUUACCUUUCAUGACGACCCUCCAGAGUCGGCCGGUUCUCUCAUCCACCGUGAUGAUUCUCGCCCGACCACCCUUUGCUGCCAAAUUUUUCAUGCAGCUUUUCUUUUCCUUUCCCUCCUUUAGUUUUUCUCAAUCUCGGUUGUCCCUGUUUCCAACUCUUCGGUUUAAGAUUCUAUUGGGACAUCGACAACUCCCAUUUGGAAGUGACUGAUUAUGUUCGGCCUUUUAGCUCCGGUGGAAACACUGGGACUUGGAGUUUGUUCGUGUUCAUCAACUCUUCUUGUGGGUUUACAACAAUUGCAUCAAUAAGGGAACUGAAAAACAG